GAUUCUAUCUUUAGGAUUUAUUUUAAUUAUUAUUUUCAUGCAAUUUUGGUAUUUUUUAUAGAUAGCUUGCAGUGAUUAGUAUUAAAUAUUUAGGUAACUAAGAUUUAGAAAUAAUUUGAAAUUUUAACAAAAUUUGUGCCAGCAGUUGCGGUUAGACAAAUAAGGUAAAUAAAUCUUUUUAGUAUUUAGUUAAUAGUAUUAAGUUGAAUUUAAUGUUGAUUUUUAUUAGGUGGAAUUUAAAGCUUGUUUUAAAAUUUUAUUUUAUGAAGCUGUGAAAUUUUUAUUAUAAACUAGGAUUAGAUACCCUAUUAUUAAAAAUGUAAAAUAAGUUACUAGGUUAGUAUUAGUUAUGUUCUUGAAAACAAAAGAUUUUGGCGGUAUUUUAGUCUUUCCAGAGGAACCUGUCCUGUAAUUGAUAUCCCACAAUAAAUAUUACUUGCUUUAUUAGCUUAUAUAUCGUCGUAUAAGAUUAUUUUAAAAGAAUUUUAAUAGUCAUAAUUCUUUAUUUAGAUAAAAAUCAGAUCAAGAUGUAGUUUAUAGGCAAGAAGAGAUGGGUUACAAUAAAUUAAUUUAUAUGGUAAUAUAGUUGAAAAUAUUUUAUUUAAAUUGGAUUUGGAAGUAAUUUUAUUUUAUUAUUUAAAAUGAUUUAGCUCUAAAAUAUGCACAUAUCGCCCGUCGCUUUCAUUAAAGUGAAAUAAGUCGUAACAAAGUAGGCUUACUGGAAAGUGUGCCUAGAAUGAU
rnacentral:rRNA from 1 species